ensembl:lncRNA
AUUUCUAUUGUACAGUUUUGUUGAGAAGUGGCUUUUCAAACAUCCAGUUAUUGGCUUCUACAGCUCUACUCCUGCUCUCUGUGAACAUGCUCUAACAAGAAAUUACAUCAUAAGAUACAAAAGUUGCAAUUAUGAAAAGAUAAAGUUUCCAGGAAAGCUGGACUCAGAAACCCUGUUUUUCUCAGAGUGCUGUCAGACUGCACAAAACCCAUCCAUCAUCUUAAAAAUUCAUGUGAAAAUGUACAAUGUAGAACUGGAAGUGCAUUAAAUAUGAAGCGUCUGAGUCUCAAAGCAGAGUGCAGAGAGAUCUGAAGGGCAACAGUGUCCCCUUCUGGAGGAAGAUCUCACACAGAACCUGCUUUCAUUCUCCAGCCUCCUACAGAGAAAGCUCAGAGACUGACCUUCAAGUCAGUAAAGCAGCCCAAAUCAAUCCCUGCCCAUAACUGCACAUCCUCCCGGUCAGCAUCUUCCUGGAGAAACUCCUGCGUCUGGAGGAGCAGCAGAGCCGGAGACAUUCAUCACUGUCAGCAGCAGCUGGACGCCGCUCGCAGCUAUUUUUGGCUUCUGCCUGACAGUGAAGGAAACAGAAAGCCCAGAGGCCUGUCCCCCGUGGGUUUGGGUUUCCUGAGGUCUGUGUGAAGGGCUGCUGGGAUCGAUUGAUGCUGAAGGAGCUUCCAGAGCCGCUCCUGAAACACGUCACCAUCAAUCGGCCCGGAAAUGAGAAACUGGAGGAAGGGAAGGACUUCACGCUUGAGGAGUCGAUAUCAAAGGACUAAACGAGUUUUCUAAUCAGGGACCAAUUAUAAAACACAUGAAUAUUUUAUUCCUGAAGCAGGAUGGAUCGCGGAGGCCCUCACUCGACUGCAGCUCCUCUUUGGUGUUCGGUUAUUGAGUCUAGUGAUAUUAAAAAUGUGAAUGUGUUUAAAAGCUGCUGCCUGACUCUGUUCUGCUGGAGAUGAAGCACACAGAACACUGCAAGCAUGGCUUUAUCUCUAACUAUCUCCCUUCAUCCGGGAAGAAAUGACCUCUGAACUCAGAAUUAAACUACCAAUUGUGAAAUAUAAGCACAGAAUUAUGACUUUCUGUCCCGCAAUUCUGACAGUUCUCUGAAUUCUCACAAUUUAUUUCCAAUGUAAUAAAAAGUAAAAAAAUAGUGACUUUUUUCCCCUC